ACCUGGGUGGCUCAGUCGGUUGAGCAUCUGACUUCGGCUCAGGUCAUGAUCUCACGGUUUGUGAGUUCGAGCCCCAUGUCAGGCU
rnacentral:tRNA from 1 species